CCAGGGAGUCCACCUCCCACCGCUGUGCAGCUCUGUUUUGCUUCUUGUUUGCUAACCAAGAAGUCACUUUCUGGUGUGACACCAUCUAUCUGUUCAGUCCUUAAAAAACAUGAUAUCCUACAAACCAAUGUAGGAAGCACACCCUAAGAGGGUCUGUUUCCCUCUUGGUAAUGGAUGGAGAAACUUCUCAUAGUCGGCGAGGGAUCGGUCGUAAAAACUUCGCCUGGAAGAUUAAUGUAACAAUCACGGGCCUUGCU